UGCCAGCCGCCGCGGUAAUACGGAGGGUGCAAGCGUUGUUCGGAAUUAUUGGGCGUAAAGCGCGUGUAGGCGGUUCGUUAAGUCUGAUGUGAAAGCCCGGGGCUCAACCCCGGAAGUGCAUUGGAAACUGGCGAACUUGAGUACGGGAGAGGAAAGUGGAAUUCCGAGUGUAGCGGUGAAAUGCGCAGAUAUCGGGAGGAACACCAGUAGCGAAGGCGGUUCUCUGGGCCGGCACUGACGCUGAGGAGCGAAAGCGUGGGUAGCAAACAGGAUUAGAUA
rnacentral:rRNA from 1 species